AGUGAACGCUGGCGGUAGGCCUAACACAUGCAAGUCGAACGGCAGCACAGUAAGAGCUUGCUCUUACGGGUGGCGAGUGGCGGACGUGUGAGGAAUACAUCGGAAUCUACUUUUUCGUGGGGGAUAACGUAGGUAAACUUACGCUAAUACCGCAUACGACCUACGGGUGAAAGCAGUGGAUCUUCGGACCUUGCGCGAUUGAAUGAGCCGAUGUCGGAUUAGCUAGUUGGCGGGGUAAAGGCCCACCAAGGCGACGAUCCGUAGCUGGUCUGAGAGGAUGAUCAGCCACACUGGAAGUGAGACACGGUCCAGACUCCUACGGGAGGCAGCAGUGGGGAAUAUUGGACAAUGGGCGCAAGCCUGAUCCAGCCAUACCGCGUGGGUGAAGAAGGCCUUCGGGUUGUAAAGCCCUUUUGUUGGGAAAGAAAAGCAGCAGGUUAAUACCCAGCUGUUCUGACGGUACCCAAAGAAUAAGCACCGGCUAACUUCGUG
rnacentral:rRNA from 1 species